rnacentral:lncRNA from 1 species
AUGGAGGCCCUGAGGUCGCGGAGGCCACGACUGGGGGCAGCGGCAGUCCUCUUCUGGGGCAGGGGCCUCGCACUUCACGAGGGAACGUCAGCCGUGGUGGCGCCUCCCCCAUCUCCGCGCAUCUAUGGUUGUUCUCACCAGGUGGCCGCUUCUGUUUGGGUCCAAGUUUGCACUUGGGGCGCACAGCACACUCAGCGCCUCCCUUCCCUACCCCGCACCCCCAGGUCCGGUCGAAGGGCCCCAGCAGUUCUGUCCCUGAAAGGGAACUUUGUCACUUUAGCUCAAAGAAAGUGGCGCGGGGGCGGCUACAGCCGUCAAAUUGCCCCCUCCUUCAACACUCCCCCAACACUCGGGGCCCCUCACUUCCACGCUAGUCCCCAAACCAACAAACACUGGAUUUCUCACUAUGCACCAGCAAUGAGGUCGGCCCGGGGAGGACAUGUUGGAGAACAGAUAAGAAACUUGAGGCCUGAUGAGCGUGGAACUGCGUUCAGCCGUCCUCGCCGGGGUGUCUGCGACCAGAUUCCCGUCGGAGGUUUCGGCUGCCGCCCGCUGAGGCGGAGGCGCUCCGACAGACCCCAACGUCGGGAGGCCGGCGGCGGGGGCCAGAGCGCACUCGGCACGGGCAGCGGGCGCGGGAAACCCAGUCAAGAAUCGAGGAACGCGACCCUGCCCAGCCGCGCCCUUCUGGAAGCUCUGCGGGGCCCCGGGGGGCGCCGCCCAGAGAAGACGCAGAGCGAGGGCAAGUUGGCGCCGCUAGUAUUACAGAUAUUCCAAGUAAACAGUGAACCCGAACGGGAAACCGCAGCUGUGCCUAGGGAAGCGAAUUGGCCAAGUAACUCCAGAAAAGAAGGAGAUGGGAGGUGGGCAAAUGUCUGCGCCCUGAAGGUGGUCGCUUUAUUAGGGGAAGAGGCUGCAGGGGUCAGGGCUGCUUCUGCAACUUUUCCUCUGCCCAAAAAAGGGUCCCGCAGCGGGGAUUUCGGAAGGCGCUCACCUAGUCCGGGACAAUUCAGUUGGCGGCCCUUCGCGGGCCGGGUCUGCCCCAGCAGGCACGCAGGAGGCCGGCGUCCGAGCCCUCUGACGCCGGGGCCUCCGGGCUGGCCAAGGCCGCGCAGGGCGCUGAGCCGGCGGGCCGAGCCAGCGAGGGUCUGGGCUCCCCGUGGUGUGUGCGCGCCGGCGCGCCUCCUCUAA